rnacentral:rRNA from 1 species
GUGGGGAAUAUUGCGCAAUGGGGGAAACCCUGACGCAGCAAUACCGCGUGAGUGAAGAAGGUUUUCGGAUCGUAAAACUCUUUUAUUGGGGAAGAAGAAGUGACGGUACCCAAUGAAGAAGUCCCGGCUAACUACGUACCAGCAGCCGCGGUAAUACGUAGGGGACAAGCGUUGUCCGGAAUCACUGGGCGUAAAGGGCGCGUAGGCGGUUUUAUAAGUCAGAUGUGAAAGGUACCGGCUCAACCGGUGACGUGCAUUUGAAACUGUAAGACUUGAGUACUGGAGAGGCAAGUGGAAUUCCUAGUGUAGCGGUGAAAUGCGUAGAUAUUAGGAGGAACACCGGUGGCGAAGGCGGCUUGCUGGACAGAUACUGACGCUGAGGCGCGAAAGCCAGGGGAGCAAACGGGAUUAGAAACCCUGGUAGUCC